rnacentral:rRNA from 1 species
AGAGUUUGAUCCUGGCUCAGGACGAACGCUGGCGGCGCGCUUAACACAUGCAAGUCGAACGAGAAAGCGGGGGCAACCUCGUGAGUAAAGUGGCGUACGGGUGAGUAACACGUGGAUCAUCUACCUCCGGGUGUGGAAUAACGCUGGGAAACCGGCGCUAAUACCGCAUAAGCUCGGGAGAGGAAAGCAGCAAUGCGCCG